UGCCCGUGGGUUUCAUUUUUUUGUUGUUUUCUUGACUUGGGGUUGAGCUUUGGAAGUUCAUUUGAUGGCUUUUUGGUCAUUCUCCUUGCUUGACACCUGGCUAUCUCCACCCUUGUUUCAGUGACACAUGGGCGUGGGCUUUUAUAACCCAUGGCCUUGGAUAAUUUUUUAGCCAAAGACCAAGUGUUUCUUCAUUCUUCUUCUUCAACUCUCAUCUUUUCUAAACCUCACAAGCUCCUCUCACCCUCUUUUGCCUCUCAAACCAAAUUCUCUUUCAUUUUCUUGGAUUUUUGAAGCUUUUUCUGACAUUUGGGUGCCCGAUCUACUCUUAUUGUCGUCGCCAAGAGGACCAACCAUGGCAAGAUAGCCAUGGCCAUGGGAAAUGGGGUUGCUGAAGUUUGAGAUUUAAUUAGUUUGUGAUUCCUUUGUGCAUGCAUACCUCCUAGGACCAAACAGUAGCUCACAAAAGAUCCCGUCACGCAUGUGAGGCCAUACCAUUGGAUGAAUUUGCAUUUGCAAUGCAGGAGCACAGGGAAAGAUUUGAGCGCCUUCGCCACCUUAAGUUUGGGCAAGACAUUACAUUGAUUGGCGAGCGCUUCGAACAAUCAGCUUGAAAGAAGUCCGAGAAUUAGUAAAUGUGGGGGAAUGGAGCAAACUAUUGACCAUGCGUGAAGCUUCGUUUUGAGAGGCAACACUCGAAUUCCUUGCCACAUUUGAAUUUGACAAGUUGGUGAAGAACUUUGAUCAAGAAAAUGCUAUUCAUGUUUGAUGUUUGGGAAAUAAUCAUAAGUUGAGCUUGACAAAGUUUUCAAUUAUCUUUAUGAUCAAGAGAUUAUGUACAAACUGAGGGGUACGCGCAGUUGGAAACCAAUUACCCUUGAAAUGUCACUACCAGUCGUGCUUAUUAAUAUCUGGGCCGAGGUAACUUUAAGUCAGGGGUUCCUAAAGCUUCAACCCUUAUGCGACCAGCAUUUCACUACAUCCACGCAGUUCUUAGCAGAACAGUUGCAGGCCAUGGAGAUGGUACGGGAGUCUUGAAUCGAAAUGACAUCUUGUAAUUUGUAUCGUAUGAUUCAGGGCAUCCCGAUGCAUAUAUAUUUAACAUAUUGUGGUCA